rnacentral:rRNA from 1 species
AUUGAACGCUAGCGGCAUGCCUACACAUGCAAGUCGAACGAGUGGCGGACGGGUGAGUAAUAUAUAGGAAACUGCCCAAUAGAGGGGGAUAACUACUCGAAAGGGUGCUAUACCGCAUACUCUCGGAGGAGCCCAUAUCGGAUUAGCUAGUUGGUGGGGUAACGGGUCACCAAGGCCACGAUCACUAGCUGGUGUGAGAGGACGACCAGCCAAACUGGGGCUGAGACACGGCCCAGACUCCUACGGGAGGCAGCAGUGGGGAAUUUUGGACAAUGGGGGAAACCCGGAUGCAGCCAUGCCGCGUGUAUGAAGAAGGUUUCGGAUUGUAAAGUACUUUAAUUGGGGAGGCGUUACCAGCAGAAGAAGCACCGGCUAACUCCGUGCCAGCAGCCGCGGUAAUAC